CCUCAAAUCAGGUAGGACUACCCGCUGAACUUAAGCAUAUCAAUAAGCGGAGGAAAAGAAACUAACAAGGAUUCCCCUAGUAACGGCGAGUGAAGCGGGAUGAGCUCAAAUUUAAAAUCUGGCGGCCUCAGGUCGUCCGAGUUGUAGUCUAGAGAAUCGUUUUCCGCGUUGGCCUGUGUACAAGUCCCUUGGAACAGGGCGUCAUAGAGGGUGAGAAUCCCGUCCUUGACACAGACUACCAAUGCUUUGUGAUGCGAUCUCGAAGAGUCGAGUUGUUUGGGAAUGCAGCUCAAAAUGGGUGGUAAAUUCCAUCUAAAGCUAAAUAUUGGCGAGAGACCGAUAGCGAACAAGUACCGUGAGGGAAAGAUGAAAAGCACUUUGGAAAGAGAGUUAAACAGUACGUGAAAUUGUUAAAAGGGAAACGAUUGAAGUCAGUCAUGCUUUCCGAGACUCAGCCGAUUCUGUCGGUGUACUUCUCGGUUGGCAGGCCAGCAUCAGUUUCGAUCUGUGGAAAAGGUUGGAGGGAACGUGGCAUCCUCGGAUGUGUUAUAGCCCUUCUUCGAAUACAUAGAGCGGGACUGAGGAACGCAGCGCGCCUUUUAUUAGGUUGGCCCUCGGGUACAUACGCGC
rnacentral:rRNA from 1 species